rnacentral:rRNA from 1 species
UAGUCUGCAACCGACUACAUGAAGCUGGAAUCGCUAGUAAUCGCGGAUCAGAAUGCCGCGGUGAAUACGUUCCCGGGUCUUGUACACACCGCCCGUCACACCAUGGGAGUCGGAAAUGCCCGAAGUCUGUGACCUAACCGAGAGGGAGGAGCAGCCGAAGGCAGGUCUGAUGACUGGGGUGAAGUCGUAACAAGGUAAC